GAUGAACGCUAGCUACAGGCUUAACACAUGCAAGUCGCGGGGCAGCAUGGGGGUUGCUUGCAAUCCCCGAUGGCGACCGGCGCACGGGUGAGUAACGCGUAUCCAACCUGCCCUUCACCACGGGAUAACCCGGCGAAAGUCGGACUAAUACCGUAUGUUGUCCGUUGACGGCAUCCGAUUUGGACGAAAGGGUUGGCGGGGAAGGAUGGGGAUGCGUCCGAUUAGCUGGACGGCGGGGUGACGGCCCACCGUGGCGACGAUCGGUAGGGGUUCUGAGAGGAAGGUCCCCCACACUGGAACUGAGACACGGUCCAGACUCCUACGGGAGGCAGCAGUGAGGAAUAUUGGUCAAUGGGCGUAAGCCUGAACCAGCCAAGUAGCGUGCAGGAUGACGGCCCUAUGGGUUGUAAACUGCUUUUAUGCGGGGAUAAAGUGGCCCACGUGUGGGUUUUUGCAGGUACCGCAUGAAUAAGGACCGGCUAAUUCCGUG
rnacentral:rRNA from 1 species